rnacentral:rRNA from 1 species
UGGGGAAUCUUGGGCAAUGGGGGCAACCCUGACCCAGCGACGCCGCGUGGGGGAUGACGGCCUUCGGGUUGUAAACCCCUGUCAGGGGGGACGAUGCUGACGGUACCACCAGAAGCAGCCCCGGCUAACUCUGUGCCAGCAGCCGCGGUAAGACAGAGGGGGCAAGCGUUGUCCGGAGUUACUGGGCGUAAAGGGCGCGUAGGUGGUUCAUUAAGUUAGAGGUGAAAGGCCGCAGCUCAAGUGCGGGAC